rnacentral:pre_miRNA from 1 species
UUUUUUCUGAUUGAAAAAAUUACGCGUAUUCUAAUACCGUGAAAUGUAAGUAGUCCCAGUAAAUAUGCGCCGCAAAUUUACUGGGACUACUUACAUUUCACGGUAUUAGAAUACGCGUAAUUUUUUCAAUCAGAAAAAAA